GAUGAACGCUGGCGGCAGGCUUAACACAUGCAAGUCGAACGCGGGGCGGACGGGUGAGUAAUGUUUGGAAAUCUGGCAUAUGGAGGGGGAUAACGACGGAAAACUAUCGAUAAUAGCGCGUAACAUAGUGUGAGCCCAAGGGGGAUUCGGUGGUUGGUGGGGUAAUGGCCCACCAAGCUGAAGACCUAUAGCUGGUCUGAGAGGAUGACCAGCCACACUGGGACGGAGAGACGGCCCGGACUCCGACGGGAGGCAGCAGUGGGGAAUAUUGCGCAAUGGGGGCAACCCUGACGCAGCCAUGCCGCGUGAAUGAAGAAGGCCUUCGGGUUGUAAAGUUCUUUCGGUAGGGAGGCGUUAAAUACAGAAGAAGCACCGGCUAACUCCGUGCCAGCAGCCGCGGUAAUUC
rnacentral:rRNA from 1 species